rnacentral:rRNA from 1 species
UACGUAGGGUGCGAGCGUUAAUCGGAAUUACUGGGCGUAAAGCGUGCGCAGGCGGUCUGUUAAGACAGAUGUGAAAUCCCCGGGCUUAACCUGGGAACUGCAUUUGUGACUGGCAGGCUAGAGUAUGGCAGAGGGGGGUAGAAUUCCGCGUGUAGCAGUGAAAUGCGUAGAGAUGCGGAGGAACACCGAUGGCGAAGGCAGCCCCCUGGGCUAACACUGACGCUCAGGCACGAAAGCGUGGGGAGCAAACAGGAUAGAAAC